CUGAUACUCCCUCCGUUCUAAAUUACUUGUCGCAGGUAUGGAUGUAUCUAGAUGUAUUUUAGUUCUAGAUACAUCAAUUUCUGCGACGAGUAAUUUGGAACGGAGGGAGUACAUU
rnacentral:pre_miRNA from 1 species